AAGGAUUUCGACAAAUUAAAAAUCAUCAUACAGGCACAUUUUCUGUUUGUCCAAUCUUUAUAUCUACAGAUCAACCAUAGGUAAAGUGCAGAGUAAUUAUGAUCAUGGUUUGAAAGUGAUAAGCAAAAUCUAUUUAAUUUUAAAACCAUAUAUGUAAUAACAGUGACUUAAAAGCAUAUAAAAUGUUCUGAAUUUUAUGGCCAAAUCCAUUCCAUAAAUAAUGCUUAUAUAAUGAUACUUUCCUGAAAAGUAUCCACAUUAUUGUUAGUCUGUAAUGCACUUUUGUAGUCCAGGAAAGUAUAUUGUUGUUAUACUGUGUAAUUGUACUCUUAACUAUGUAUUUGUUCUCAAGAACUUUUAUUAAGCUAAGCCUAUUAUCUUGAUAGUGCUUGAUAUAAUUUAUUUGACUAUUAUACAUCCAUCAAUGUAUGAGUUUGAUCAGUUUUCAGUUACUUGGCAAAUUUAGCAAUGAAGUAUUCAGAAUAACACAAGUUUUAGGAGAAUUAAAGCUUUGCCCUCAAAACAUCAAGUAUUUUGUUUUAAUACUUUUAGAAAGAGGGUGUUUAAUAAUUUGUGAUGCACAGAAAAUGCCAAUACUGAAUGCAACCUUUUUCGGGUAGCUAGGAUCAGUGCUGUUACUGAUCAUAGCUCAUCCUCAGCUCUAGAUGACUUUUGUUGUUAAGUUGAAAUUCCACAAGCCCCAGCUAGAACCAACUCUGGUAUUUAUUUCUUGAAAUAAGGCCAAAAUAGUCUGAUCUUUCAGUCUUUGCUCCUUUUUUUUUUUUGAUAGGGAUGGAAUAGGAAUAGUAUUUUACUGUUAAAUUUACUUUUGAAUCAAAGGCCUCAACUUCUACAAUGUUAUUUUAUCUUCAAUAGGAGCUUAACUUUUGCUGUCCUCACAGUGACUUUGAUACAUCAAUUAAAAAACCAUUUUGGAAUCAGUACAUUGAUGGUUUGACCAUUACAUUUCAUUAUGUACUGAAAUUCUUCUGCCUCAACAACUUUGGGCAAGUCACUUCUUGUCUGAGUUUCAAAUGCCUGAUUUGUAAUAUGAAGAAAUUGGACCUCAAUCCACUGUAAACUCCAGUGAGGAAAGUGGUAAGCAGUGACUCAGCAGACCCGAUAAAGACUCUGUCCAGCCAUGGAUUAGUUAAGUGAGUGUGAAGAAGGGACUUUAUCUCCCUGACUUUAGUUUUCCACUUGUUGAAGAUAUUGGACGAGCUUGCUUGUGGUCUUAUCCUCUUGAAAAUUCUUUGAGACCAAACCAUAAAUACCAAGAAGCAAUUUAAAAAGGUCAGCUUUGAAAAAGUCUUAAAGAUCUCAACAUUUGGAUUUCUAUAGGUAUUUAAUAGUUGGAACAGCUAGGAAUUAGAUAAUCGGGGACUUGAUGUAAUAUUUUAUGGUAAUUCUUCCUGUUUGCUCGAAAGAUUUUUCCCUUGUGAUAAGGGCUGAUUAGUGGCGAAUGGAAUGAAGGGAGAAUGGUUCUCCCCUCCCUAUUAAGUCAGACAUAUGCUGGAUAGAGAGGAGAAUUAUGGAGUGUUAGUCUUGCUUAAAUACUGAAGUUGGGAGAGAAAAGACUUUGUCUUAGUUCUCCAUGAAAUGGGCUUUUCUUCUUCAGUGUCUGCCAUCCAUCCCUCCAUCCAUCCAUCCAUCAUAGAUUGAUGUGUGCUUGCAUACAUCCCUCUAAACCAUCUAAUACUGACUGACCAUUUGCUACAUGCCAGGCACUGUUCCAGGGGCUGAGAGCCAUUGACAUGAAUGACCCCUGUCCUACCCUCAAGUUAGCUGUUAUUACAUAUUACAUUGCUAUCUGCAGAUAUGUGCCAAGUUCAUGAACAUCCAAAGUCAUAUAACAAAAUAGAAUGAUCUACUUCUAUGUCAUGGUGAGGUGGUUCUCAUGGUAUUUGAAGAUAUUUAUAUGGAUGUGCAUUCACAUUAAAUUAAGUUUUAAAAAUAUGCUAUAACAGCAAUGGCUAUAGACCAGUGAGAGAGACAGAUCUUUGUACAGAAAAUUGAUAAUUCAGUACAAUGAACACUGUAUUUGUAAUUUAGGGUAAGGAAAUUGGAAAAACUAAGGAAACAAACAACACGUACUUGACCUUGUUAGGGAGGUGAGGUGGAUGUGGUGGAGACGUUCAACAAGGGUACGUGAAUGAGAAGACAUUGUAUCACGAAAGGGGAAACAGGAAGCAGACUCUUCCAACCAGGUGGUGUCCUGCUCCAGCCCCAGGGCUCUGUUCUUAGGGUUUGUAAAUGAGAUGUGCUUCUCUUCUUUGAUCACAAAGACAGUCUUACCUUUCUUAGCUAUUGUCUCCCCUUACAUAUGAAUAUGUGUGUAUUGGAUUUAAGUCACUAAAGUGGGGAAGUCUUUUUACUUUUGAAUCUCAAUUUUGUCACUUGUAACAUUAUUAUUAUUGCUGAUUAUAAUUUUUGCUAAUAAAGUUAUGGUUGAAAUUAAGUAUUAAAUGUAAAAUUGCUGACACCCAGUAGGUUCUUAAUAAAUAGGGAUGAUGAUGACAUACUGGAAUCAUGUAUUUCCAUAUUGGCCUCCCCCGCCACCCAAAUGUUUGCUUAUCAAAGCGGAAACAAUGUCUUACUCAUAUUUGCAUACCCAGUGUCUAGAACAGUGUUUUCAACUGGGGGCAAAUUAAUACUGUCCACCAAGGGAAAGUUGGCAACACCAGGAGACAUUUUUGGUUGUCAAAAUUGGUGUGUGUGUGGGGGGAUGACAUAAGCAUCAAGUGGAUGCUGCUAAAUGUCAUUCAAUGCACAAGAUAGCCAUCCCAUAGUAAAUAAUUAUUUAGCUCCAAAUAUCAUUAGUGUGGAGGUUGAGAAACACUGAUCUAGAACAAUACUUCAGAGCAACAGGGGCACAAAAGCUUGUUGAAUGAAAAAUGGAUGGAUGGAUGAAUGAAUAGAUUGAUUAAUAUGGGGCAUAGCUGGCCUCGUACAUGGUUAAAAUUGAAGCAAUUACAAGCAUUCAAUUUAAUGUGAAUGCAUAUCCAUAUCCAUACAUUUAAAUAACAUUAGAACUGCCUCAUGAAGAAGAUCACUUGUUUCUAGUUUAUUAUAUGGCUCUGGGUAUUCAUGAACUGAGCUAUGACUAAUAUUUGCAGUUCACUAUGUAAUAAAAAAUAACAACUCAUAUUUAUGGAAUGCUUAACGCAUGGUACUUAUUCUGAGGAGUGUUUUGCUUGUAUUAUUUUCCUUAAUUUCACAAUCACACUUAACACCCCCAAUUUAUGAAUGAGGAAACAGAGGCUUGAAGAGUCUAUUUGCCCAAAGAUGCUGAGUUAGUAAUUGAAGGAGUCAGAUCUUUCUGGUUCCAAUGCAUGUUUGUGUAACCACUGCAUUAUUGCUUCCAGACCCAGUAAACUAAAAGGGCAGAUCAUGUCUCACUAUGAUCCUGGUGUUAUUUUAGAAUUUCAAGGAUAUUCAUGAUCACGACACAGCAGUAAGUGUUCAGAGGUAUUACCAAAAAGAAGCCUUUGAAAGAUGGGAUGUAAGCUCCAAAUGAAAGGUUCUUUACCUGAUGUUGAACUUCUCCUAAAGGUUCUUUAUCUAAUGUUGAAUAAGGGUCAUAGAUUUGGUGGUUGCUGAUUUGCCAAAUAGUUUUGUAUGACAAAGUCAACAAUGGAUUUUUAUCUAAUCAUUUGAAUAUAUGCUGUGGUAUCUUUUCACAUAACACCAGCGAAGCAGGUGCAAUGGCGAGAUAGAAGCGUAUCUCUUAGAGCUAUUGAUUUUUUCCUUCCUAUCUGUUGUCCCAACUUUUACACUCAGAAACUGGUUUUCAAAGGUUGAUUCCAUCCAAAUCACUUCCUCUUUCAGAGUUAGCACAGCCUCACUAGAAUUUCAAUUUGGUUUACUGUGAAGGAUUGCAGGAUCUGGCAAGCUUCCUGGGCUGACUCAUUUGUGGGAAAAAAGUGAAAAUGACUGAAAGCAUAGGGGAUGAUUGUGUUGCUGUAAAGGGCUGUAAGAAAUCUGUUGGCUGCUUCAGGACAGAAGAGGAAGAAAUCUGUUUAUUUUUGGCUUCAGGACAGAUGGGAGAGUGUUGAACUAGGAAAGGCCGAUCCGACCAUGGGGCCCAGGGGAACCAUUUGCUCCAGGGGGGCCUGGAGGUCCAGGAACCAAUGACGGACUC